UUUUCUUUGACUAGCAACAAGAGCUCACUUGCCAGAUCUUGUCUGAAAUCAAAAAGAAGUGAUUCCUUCUCUACACCCAGAAAAAAAAAAAUGUUUCUAGUCUAAAACAUGCCGAGAAAGAGCUGGCAUGUAAGAAUAAGGCAAAUGUUCAUAGGAAGUAGAAAUGGAAAAGUCAGAUGACAUCACCGUUCCAUCUGCCCGGAGCCCUCGGAUUCCUCAGGACAAUGUGCUCCACAGUCCAGUGGCGAUGAGGCUGGACGAAGCAGUGAGCAGUGUCUCAGACUGAACUGAAGAAAUGAGCCUAAAAAUGGAAGGUCAGACUUUUCCUACGAACUGGCAGGUGCUGCCACUGUUUCCCCCAACAGCCCUAUUCAGAGUGCAUCAUGCAGAAUUUUGCUCAGGAAACUGUUGAGGUCAGUGAAAAGAGAUGACAGACCUGGCUUUGAAGCAGAGAUAUUGCUACUGAAAGUAUGAUUAUCACCACAAGCAGUGUGCCAUAAACACAUCAAGGCUUAGGCAGAAAAAAAGAAAUCAUUGGUUGAGGUCAAACCCUAGAUUUAACCAUGGCAAAUAAAAGAAGUGGAUUUAAA